AGUUAACUUACCCUUACGUCUGCGAUAUCCUCGGGAAACUGAGGGUAAUAGCAGAUAGAUGAUACUCACUGGAAUGUUGUUUCAUUCAAAGUUUACGUAAGGAAAGGACUGCGGUGGAUUAGGUUGUUGGCGGGGUAAUGGCCCACCAAGCCGAUGAUCCAUAAGGGCUCUUAGCGGAGAAGCCCUGAGGGGGAAUCUGAGACACUAUUCCCAGCCUUACGGGGUGCAGCAGCAGGGAAACUUCUACAAUGCACGAAAGUGUGAUAGAGCAAGCCAGAGUGAUUCUCUAUAAUUGAGAAUCUUUUGUGAGAUGUAAAAAGUCUCACGAAUAAGGACCGGGCAAGACUGGUGCCAGCCGCCGCGGUAAUACCAGCGGUCCAAGUCGCAAUCAUUUUUAUUGGGUCUAAAACAUCCGUAGCUUGCUAUGUAAGUCUCUUGUGAAAUCCCACGUCUCAAGCGUGGAAGUGCAAGAGAUACUGCAUAGCUAGAGACCGGGAGACGUAAGGAGUACGGUUAGGGUAGCGGUAAAAUGCGUUGAUCCUUACUGGACUAACGAUAGCGAAGGCACCUUACGAGAACGGAUCUGACAGUCAGGGAUGAAGGCUAGGGGCGCAAAACGGAUUAGAUACCCGUGUAGUCCUAGCAGUAAACGCUGAACACUAAACAUUAGGAUCUCUUCGAGAGGUUCCAGUGCUGUAGGGAAGCCGUAGAGUGUUCUACCUGGGAAGUAUAGUCGCAAGGCCGAAACUUAA
rnacentral:rRNA from 1 species